CGGUUGAUCCUGCCGGACCCCACUGCUAUCGGGAUAGGACUAAGACAUGCUAGUCAAGCGCUUUCUAGCUAAUGUGAGAGCGCGGCGUACAGCUCAGUAACACGUGGCCAACCUGCCCUUGGGACGGGAACACCCCCGGGAAACUGGGGUUAAUUCCCGAUAGGUGAAGAAGUCUGGAAUGAUUCUUCGCUCAAAAGACGUUUAUGUCAUGCUCAUAUUCGUCGCCCAGGGAUGGGGCCGCGACCGAUCAGGUAGUUGGUGAGGCAAUGGCUCACCAAGCCUUUUACCGGUGCGGGCCGUGAGAGCGGGAGCCCGGAGAUGGGCACUGAGACAAGGGCCCAGGCCCCACGGGGCGCAGCAGUCGCGAAAAUUUUGCAAUACACGAAAGUGUGACAGAGCUAUCCCGAGUGCCAUCCGCUGAGGAAGGCUUUUACCCAGUAUAAAUAGCUGGGAGAAUAAGGAGAGGGCAAGUCUGGUGUCAGCCGCCGCGGUAAUACCAGCUCUCCGAGUAGUGUGGACGUUUAUUGGGCCUAAAGCAUCCGUAGCUUGCUAGAUAAGUCCUCUGUUAAAUCCACCGAUUCAAUCGUUGGAUUGCGGGGGAUACUGUUUGGCUAGGGGACGGGAGAGGUCGACGGUAUUUCCGGGGUAGGGGUGAAAUCCUAUAAUCCCGGGAGGACCACCAGUGGCGAAGGCUGUCGACUAGAACGCGCCCGACGGUGAGGGAUGAAAGCUGGGGGAGCGAACCGGAUUANAUACCCGGGUAGUCCCAACUGUAAACGAUGCAGNNNAGGUNUUUGGGCGGCCACGAGCCGCCCUAGUGCCNCAGGGAAG
rnacentral:rRNA from 1 species